GAGUAGCUGGGACUACAGGCGCCCGCCAUGAUGCCCGGCUAAUUUUUUGUAUUUUUAGCAGAGACGGGGUUUCACCCUGUUAGCCAGGAUGGUCUCAUCUCCUGACCUCGUGAUCCGCCCGCCUAGGCCUCCCAAAGUGCUGGGAUUACAGGCGUGAGCCACCGCGCCCGGCCUAAUAAAGGACAAUUUUUAAUAGCCACUGGACUAUUUAAGUGAUCUCUUCUGUCAGUUUCUUUUACCAUCAGAGGACACAGCAGCAAGGUGCCAUCCUAGAAGCAGAGAGCAGACCCUUACCAGACAACCAACCAGCUGGUGCCAUGAUCUUGGACUUCUCGGCCUCCAGAACUUUGAUUAAUUGGAUCCUCCACCUUGCAUAUAUACAUCUUGCAUAUAUAUACACGGGCUCAAUUAUUAGAUUUGUCAGGAUAAUCAAAUAAAAAUACCAGGCACUUAAACACGCAGCAUGAGGAAAAUGGAACAACAAUCUUGAGGUGCCUUCUGAAUCAUCAGAUUAAAUUAUGCUUCGGUCUUGCACUGCUGCCUAGGCUAGAGUGCAGUGGUGCAAUCAGGGCUCACUGCAGCCUCACUCAACUUCCCAGUCUCAAGCCAUCCUCCUACCUCAGCCUCUGUUCCACUAAUCUACUUGUCAAUUUUUCCAGCAACACCACACCCUCCUGAUCACCAUAGCUUUAUGCAACAACAAGAAACAAAUUUAUUAGCUAACCUAACCACUAAUGACGCAAGAGACAAUUCUAAGGACUUUCAAAACAGCAAAGUAGGAGCAGCUGCUACCUCUAGGGAUGAGGGAGAAACUCAAAAAUGCAUACAAAAACCAUUGCAUGAAAAGUGACUGGAUUUGUACAUAGCGUCAGGAGAUGUGCGUAGUGUCAAAGUAUCUCAUCACACAUUACUUGAUAAUUACAAAUGAGAAAAAUGAACCUUCACAGUGGCAAGACUUGACUUCUACCUCUUUCAAAAAGAUGCAAUUGUCCAAUUAUUGGUGAAAUUGUCAUUUCAUGCUAUUGGCUAUUUGAAAUUCCUCCUCUAAUUUCAGAAUAAAUCACUGAAAUUGACAUCGGCCAGUCUGAAUUUCAAGAAAUUACCUGCUGAAGACAAGAGGGAUCUCUUCUUCAGAUUUGCAGUCUGGGGAAGACACAGCCUCUACUGUACUUUAGAACCUGAGAUAUGGUGGUGGAGGGAGCCCUGGGUCGAGUGGUAAGAUUCACCCUUAGGUUAGUAUUGACGUAAGGUGACGAGGAGCUGUAGACAAAAGAUUGUAACCAUAAGAACUUCAUAGUUUUUGUAUUUUCACCGAGCUUAUAUUUGGUGUGUUUUUUGUCUUUUCUUUAUGAUUAUCAAUAAAAUGCUUGAAAGGA
rnacentral:lncRNA from 1 species